GAUGAAGAACGUAUCGAAAUGCGAUAAUUAAUGUGAAUUGCAGAAUUCCGUGAAUCAUCGAGUCUUUGAACGCACAUUGCGCCUCAUGGCAUUCCGUGAGGCAUGCCCAUCUCAGCGUUAGAAAAUAUUCUCAAAUUUUAGUUUUGUGCUAAAAUUUGGAUCAUGUCAAGGAAGCUAUUACUAUUAUUGUGAUCGCUCUUUGGAAAUUGAUAGGUCUUUGAGUUGCUACUCAUAGAACGUGAUGAAUCUUUCUUCGUUCUAUUGUAAUUCACUCUGGUAGUCCUAAAACUUGUAUGCCUGUGGCAUAUCUUGUAAUUUGACCUGAGAUUGGGUAGGGAUACCCGCUGAACUUAAGCAUAUCAAUAAGCGGAGGA
rnacentral:misc_RNA from 1 species